rnacentral:rRNA from 1 species
CACGUAGGGGGCAAGCGUUGUCCGGAUUUAUUGGGCGUAAAGAGCUCGUAGGCGGUUCGGUAAGUCGGGUGUGAAACCUCCAGGCUCAACCUGGAGACGCCACCCGAUACUGCUGUGACUAGAGUCCGGUAGGGGAGCGUGGAAUUCCUGGUGUAGCGGUGAAAUGCGCAGAUAUCAGGAGGAACACCGGUGGCGAAGGCGGUUCUCUGGGAAUAUCCUGACGCUGAGGAGCGAAAGUGUGGGGAGCGAACAGG